rnacentral:rRNA from 1 species
UUAGAGUKUGAUCCUGGCUCAGAGCGAACGCUGGCGGCAGGCUUAACACAUGCAAGUCGAGCGGGCACUUUCGGGUGUCAGCGGCGGACGGGUGAGUAACGCGUGGGAACGUGCCCUCUGGUUCGGAAUAACUCAGGGAAACUUGAGCUAAUACCGGAUACGCCCUUUUGGGGAAAGGCUUGCUGCCGGAGGAUCGGCCCGCGUCUGAUUAGCUAGUUGGUGAGUAACGGCUCACCAAGGCGACGAUCAGUAGCUGGUCUGAGAGGAUGAUCAGCCACACUGGGACUGAGACACGGCCCAGACUCCUACGGGAGGCAGCAGUGGGGAAUAUUGGACAAUGGGCGCAAGCCUGAUCCAGCCAUGCCGCGUGAGUGAUGAAGGCCUUAGGGUUGUAAAGCUCUUUUAUCCGGGACGAUAAUGACGGUACCGGAGGAAUAAGCCCCGGCUAACUUCGUGCCAGCAGCCGCGGUAAUACGAAGGGGGCUAGCGUUGCUCGGAAUCACUGGGCGUAAAGGGCGCGUAGGCGGCGUUUUAAGUCGGGGGUGAAAGCCUGUGGCUCAACCACAGAAUGGCCUUCGAUACUGGGACGCUUGAGUAUGGUAGAGGUUGGUGGAACUGCGAGUGUAGAGGUGAAAUUCGUAGAUAUUCGCAAGAACACCGGUGGCGAAGGCGGCCAACUGGACCAUUACUGACGCUGAGGCGCGAAAGCGUGGWGAGCAAACAGGAUUAGAUACCCUGGUAGUC